rnacentral:rRNA from 1 species
CACGUAGGGGACGAGCGUUGUCCGGAUUCAUUGGGCGUAAAGCGCGCGUAGGCGGCUCGGAAAGUCGGGCGUGAAAUGCCGGGGCUCAACCCCGGGACUGCGUCCGAUACUUCCGGGCUGGAGGUAGGUAGGGGAGAUCGGAAUUCCUGGUGUAGCGGUGAAAUGCGCAGAUAUCAGGAGGAACACCGGUGGCGAAGGCGGAUCUCUGGGCCUUACCUGACGCUGAGGCGCGAAAGCGUGGGGAGCAAACAGG